GCCUCGGUGGUUUAGUGGUAGAGCGCGUGUCCCUGAUAGGAUGAAACGCCUGUUCGAUUCUCGCCUGAGGCG